AGGUUUACUAGCUGAGAGAUCAUCCUUUUACAACAAUGGUUUUUCAAAUGAGAGAUCAUGCUUAAAAAAGUAAGCUCUCUCUCACUCCUACAAAUCAGCAUCAGCAACAAAUUAUAAGGGAAAAGUGAAGUACCUGUAGAGAAUACGCAGAGAAGGCUCCAGGAAAUUGCUCAGCCAUGAUAUCCAUGGCUGCAAGAAAUGCCACAACUUAUUCAUAAUUUCGUACCAAACAACGAUUAGGAUAUAGUAGGACAAAGCUUAAGCAAACUGAGGUAGACUGUGAGUUCUUGAAGAAGUUAUAUGAAACACUAACAGAUUAAACCAACCUUUGUACAUGCAUAUGCCAACAACCACCCUCACUAUGUGUCCAUCUUGUGAAAGAAUCGGAUGUGCGGAAGAAAAUAUGUAAGGUUCCAAUGUCCUUAAUUUUGUAAAUAUUUUGAACAUUUGAUAUUUUGUAAU
rnacentral:sRNA from 1 species